UUAGCUUUGCGUCUAGUUGGCCGGCUUGGCUUGCCAGUUUGAGUUGUUUCGGUCGGCGGAGUGCUGGUGUGGACUUUUCUGUGCCGAGUUUCGUCAUAACUCUCGUUAUAACUUAUUUAUGACUUACUUUUAAAGUGUAUAUGUGUUGAGAUUAUUAGUGUAGUGUUUAUUUGUGAGUGCAUAGUGCUGGAACAUUAUGGACUACAACUUUUAAACUUUUAUGAUUUUGACUACGUUUACAGAUCCAUUGCAAGGUUGUGACGUGAAUGGUGCUUCUUUUCUAAAGAUGAUUCCAACGAAGUAAAAGAAGCGAAGAAUCCAUUAGUACUACGUUUAUAAAAGAUGGGCCACGAGCACGUAUGUCGGACGAGGCGGCGCUGCUGUAGGUGAACAGGGAUCACAAUGGCGCGGUGGGCGCACGCCGUGCUGACCGCGCUGGCGCUGUCGGCCGCGCGCGCCUACCUCAUCAUCGUCCCCGACACCGCUCCGCCCGGCUACGUCAUCCUCGACGCGGCCGUCUACAAGCUCGGCUCCGAGCGCGCCUACGCCAUCGACGUCCAUCGAACCGCCAACUUCGUCCACCACAUCCUACGAGUCAACCGAACGUCCGGUCUAGUCACGCUGCGAAAGAGAUUACGGUGCGACGGCGUCCUCUAUCCGAACCUCUUCACUUUCUACGUCGACUCUACCUCAGAGCGCAUCAGGGACAUCGAUUACUACAGCUUACCCGUCAGAAUACUCGUCGCCGGGGAAGACUGCAGCAGACGACACGCUGAUCUGUACGAUAUAGACUUCGAUCGAGUGUACGAUCAAAACGAUGCAGCUCUGCAGUACGAGGACGACCACGAGAGAGAUAAGAGAGCGGUUAAUUAUCAAGAGAGUAUAGACUGGAGGUUGUUGGAAGAAGAGGAGUUGGGCGCUAGUCAAUAUAGUGUACUGUCCACGGCCUAUCCGUGGUCCAACGCAAUGUUCGAGGAUUUCGCGUUUAGAAAUAGAAGUAGGAAAAAACGAUCUCCAUUAGUACCCUUCGACAUGGCCAUAGAUGUUAAGAUAGCUGAAGCGAAGCAGUGGAUUUCGGAGACGUACGCCAGCUUCGCGAUACCGACGACGGAUCGGUGGCAGGGAAUUUGCCUGAAGAAUUCCCAGUUCAUUAAUUCUCUGACAGCAUUUCUGCCGCGGACAGUUCAAAAACAGUGUAGAGUUCAAUUCUUAGAUGUAAGUGAUCCUCGAUUUGUUAUCGAGAACAGUCAAGGCGAUUUGGUGGCGAGCGGUGACGUAUGCAUUCAAGAGCCUAUGUGGAAAGUGUCUGUGUUAUUCACGUUCAACUGUGAACGGACUAAUAUAAUUGAUUCGGACCACCGAUUGAAAAUAGUUUAUCAUCACCAAGAGCUGAAUGACACGGAUAUAGCGAGGCGAGUGAAGAGGGAGCUCCGGAACCAGUCUCCUUAUUUUGAACAAGCUCUUUAUGUAGCGUCCGUGGCUGAAGAACAACCACCAGGAGUCAUUGUGACUACAGUGAGGGCUCGUGAUCCAGAAAGCAGCCCAGUGACUUACUCCAUAUCGAGCUUGCUGGACUCGCGCUCGGCGGGCAUGUUCGCCGUGGACACGCGCAGCGGUGUCGUGACCACGCAGGCGCGGCUGGACCGCGAGCGGCUCGACGUGCACUACUUCCGCGUGGUAGCGCAGGAUGACACCUUUCCUCCCAGGAGCGGCACCACCACGCUGCAGAUUAACGUAUUAGACUGCAACGACCACGCGCCCGUGUUUGAAAUGCAACAAUACGAAGCGUCAGUGAGAGAAGGCGCCAGCACCGGCACUACUGUACUCACGCUGAAGGCCACUGAUCAAGACAUCGGCAAGAAUGCUGAGGUGGAAUACUCAAUAGAUUCUGUCAAAGCAGAGACCCUGAGCCUGGAACUUCUGAACGAUUCUAUAGACGCUGACCAGAUCGACGCCAGAGAAGUGUUCAGGGUUGAUGGUAGAAGCGGCGCGCUGAUGACCAGAGCUUCACUGGACAGGGAGAAGGUGUCCAGAUACACUGUCAUCGUAAAGGCUACUGACCAGGCUAGCCCACUGUCUGAUCGGAUGUCCAGCAGUGCGACGAUUCACGUAAACAUCUUGGACGACAACGACAACUACCCUCAGUUCAGCGAGAAGACGUACACAGUCAACAUCGACGAAGACAUCAGCGUCGCUGACAACCCUGUUAUUGCUAGGAUAAAAGCCACGGAUGCAGAUGUUGGCGCCAACGCCGCCAUCCGCUACGCUAUCAUCGGCGGCAACACGCAGAUGCAGUUCUCCAUCGACAGCCUGAGCGGCGAUGUGUCGCUCGUCAAGCCGCUCGACUACGAGCAGCUGCGCAACUACCGCCUCGUGAUACGAGCUCAGGAUGGUGGCAGUCCAUCCCGCUCCAACACCACGCAGCUGCUGGUCAACGUGAAGGACGUGAACGACAACGCGCCGCGCUUCUACACCUCGCUGUUCCAGGAGUCCGUCAGCGAGAGCGUGCCCACUGGAUACAGUAUUGUUAGGGUGCAAGCUUACGAUGCGGACGAAGGCGUGAACGCAGAACUGACGUACACUCUGCAAGACAAAGAGUACAACGGCAACAACGAUCUGCCCAUCUCCAUAGACCCGCGCUCUGGAUGGGUCUACACGGCCAGACAACUAGACAGGGAGAUCCAGUCAAAAUAUCAGCUUCAGGUGACAGCAACAGACAACGGUACUCCGCCGCGAUCGGCGACGGCAUCCGUGGUGGUAGUGGUGCAGGAUGUGAACGACAACGACCCCGUGUUCUCCCCGCCGCAGUACGAGGUGGAGCUAGCAGAGGAUGAGCCGCCCGGCACGCCCGUAGUCACUGUCACCGCAACUGACGCUGACGAGGACAACAGGUUGCACUACGAGAUCACCGGGGGGAACACCCGAGGCCGGUUCUCCAUCACAUCACAGAAUGGGCGCGGGCUCAUCACCGUCGCUCAGCUGCUGGACUUCAAGCAGGAGAGGCGAUACGUCCUCACAGUCACCGCCACAGACUCCGGCGGACGGUCCGACACUGCGAUGGUCCAUAUUAACAUCACUGACGCGAACAACUAUGCGCCCGUAUUUGAAAAUGCACCUUAUACUGCUUCGGUAUUCGAAGAUGCACCCGUUGGUACCACAGUGCUGGUCGUCUCAGCCACUGACAGUGACGUGGGAGUGAACGCACAGAUCACGUACACGCUCAGCUCAGAGAUAUCCAACGAGGCGGUGGCUCAUCAUGAGCAGGAGUUCCUCAUCAACCCACAGACCGGGGCCAUCACCACUAACAAACUGCUGGAUAGAGAGACUAUGAGCGGAUAUCUCCUCACUGUAACGGCUCGCGACGGCGGCGUCCCAUCGCUGUCAGACACCACCGAUGUGGAAAUAUCUGUGGUAGAUGUGAACGACAACGAACCGAUCUUUAAACAGCAACUUUACACUGCUAGUAUUAUGGAGGAUGCUUUAGUUGGUACAUCAGUAACACAAGUGAGUGCGAGCGACGCAGACGUAGGUCUCAACGGUCGAGUGCAUUACGAGCUGGAACCUAAAGACAGGGAGGAAGGGUCGUUCGUCAUCGACCCUGCGUCUGGUGUUAUCAGGACUAACAAGGCCUUAGACAGAGAGUCUGUGGCUAUAUACGAUCUAAAAGCGUUGGCCAUCGAUGGAGGAACACCGCCGCAGAGUUCCACUGUCAUAGUCCAUAUAAAGGUAGAAGACAUCAACGAUUCCCCACCGGUGUUUGAGAGCGAUUGCCUAACAUUUUACAUUCAGGAGAACAGCCCGAUUGGCACCACUGUGGGGGAAAUAUACGCGCAUGAUCCCGACGAAGGCGCUAAUGCUGUAGUACAUUAUUCUAUUAAAGGUGGCGAUGAUUCCAACAGUUUCUCCCUGCAAACCCACCAAGGAUCCGAUAAAGCAGAACUGAUAACCAUGGUUGACCUUGAUUACGAGAGUCCAAGGAAGAAGUACGAGCUUAUCAUAAGAGCUGCCAGUCCUCCACUGUGGAAUGACGUCAGAGUCGAAAUUCUCGUGACCGAUGUGAACGACAACGCGCCCAUGCUGAAGGACUUCCAGAUAAUAUUCAAUAACUAUAAGGAUUGUUUUCCUGUCGGACCUUUUGGUAAAGUCCCGGCUUAUGACGCUGAUGUUACUGAUAAGCUGCAAUACAGGAUUUUGUCUGGCAACAACGCGAAUCUCGUACUGUUGAACGAAACCACCGGAUCCAUGACAUUAUCGCCUCAAUUAAACACUAACGUACCCAAGCUCGCCACUAUGGAGAUAUCGGUCACAGAUGGCGUGAACGAAGUGAAAGCAAUGAUGCAGCUACUCGUGAGGCUCAUAACUGAAGAAAUACUGUUUAACUCCAUAACCGUCCGCCUGAACGACAUGACAGCGGAACAGUUCCUGUCGCCACUGCUGGCCUUCUUCAUAGAUGGGCUUGCAGCCAUCAUACCCUGCCCUAAGGAGAAUAUAUACAUUUUUAGUGUCCAGGAUGACACAGACGUGACGGGCAACAUCCUCAACGUGUCGUUCUCGGCCAAGAGACCAGACGCAGAGGUCGGCAUCGGAGGCGAGACGUCUCCGUACUACUCGCCCACGCACCUGCGCGAGCGGGUGUACCUGCACCGCUCCACACUGGCGCGGCUUGCUACUGUACAGGUUUUACCGUUUGAUGAUAACAUCUGCGUGCACGAGCCGUGUCUCAACUACGAGGAGUGUCUCACCGUGCUCAAGUUCGGGAACGCGUCCGGCUUCAUCAACAGCGACACCGUGCUCUUUCGCCCCAUAUACCCCGUCACCACCUUCACUUGCCAAUGUCCGCAAGGAUUCACCGGAUCUCGCGAACACUACAUGUGCGACACGGAAGUGGACCUGUGCUAUUCGUCGCCAUGCAAAAACAACGGAACGUGCGUGCGUCGGGAAGGCGGAUACACCUGCGUUUGCGGCGCUGGGUUCACAGGAAUAAACUGCGAAACAAUCCUCACGAAAGCGACAUGCGACAUGAACGGCGACGGCAGCGUGUGUCGCAGCGGCUCGCAGUGCGUGGCCAAGCGCGAGGGCGGCAUCUUGUGUCAGGGCUGCACCAUCGACGUGGCCUACACCACUGCCAUGUGCGAGUUGCGCGCGCGCAGCUUCCCCACCACUUCCUUCUUGACAUUCCCGGGGCUCAAGAAGAGGCAUCGCUUCCAUUUGAAACUCAAAUUUGCAACACAAACAACAUCUGGUCUCCUGCUCUACAACGGGCGGUACAAUGAGAGGCACGACUUCGUGUCGCUCGAGGUGGUCAGUAGCGGCGCCGGCGCCGACGGGGGGCCGGGCGUGAGGUUCACGUUCGCGUUGGGGGGCGGCAAGACUGAGGUCACGGUGGAGGGCAACGUCGCUGAUGGGGUCUGGCAUACCGUUGAAGUGGACUACUUUAACAGGACAGCAACAAUGGUAUUGGACGAAUGCGACAAGGCGUUGUCGCUGGCGGGCGCGGCCGAGUUCGGAGUGAAGUACGCGUGCGCCAACUUCACGAGGAAAGCGCUGCCUCCGCGCUGCGACAUACCCACUGAGACUUGCCACAGCAGAUUUCUCGACCUAACCGGACCUCUGCAAAUCGGCGGCCUACCCAACAUCCCGAGUAGUUUCCAAGUGAAGAACAAAGAUUUCGUCGGCUGCAUAUCGGAUUUGUACAUCGAUCACAAAUUCAUUGAUUUGAACAGUUACGUGUCAGACAACGGAACGUUAGCGGGGUGUCCCGAGAAGCGGUCUCAGUGCACCAGCGCUCCGUGCUAUAAUGACGGCGAGUGCCUCGACCUGUGGGACACCUUCCUGUGUAGAUGCAACGAAGGCUACACGGGGAAAGACUGCGCGGACUCCACAUCACCCCCAUGGCGCUUCAGCGGCGAUGGUAUGCUCUCGUUCAAUCCCCUGCUCCGCCCCAUACAACUGCCGUGGCUCAACGCGCUAUCUCUGCGCACGAGACAACAAGACUCCUUUCUCAUGUCCGUACAAGUUGGACAAAAUAGCAGUGUUGUUGUCACCUUGAAAUCGGGUCUCUUGCACUACUCGUACAACGGUGAAACAAUGUUCCUUCCGUCACCCACACUGGCCGACGGCUCCUGGCACCGCAUCGAGAUCAAGUGGCUGGGCAGCGAUAUAUCCGUCAGCAUUGACUACGGCCUUCGCAACGCGUUGCUGCCGAUGUUGGCGAAUAAAAUACAGGGACAGUAUAUUGGGAAGAUACUUAUUGGUGGAUUGGAUACAACAGCUGGUUUAUUGGCAUCCGAUGUUGGGUAUUUCGAGGGAUGCAUUCAGGACGUUCGUGUAGGAACAGCUCAGUCGCUACUAAAUCGACCCACUGUUAGAGAAAACGUUAGAGAUGGAUGCCAGUCGCGAGCGGACUGUAUGCUGUCUAUUUGUCCGCCUUAUAGUAAAUGCGUUUCGUCGUGGGACAACACGCAGUGCGUGUGUGAGCCGGGGCGGCUGGGCCCGCAGUGCGUGGCGGCCUGCGACCUCAGCCCGUGCGGCGAGCACGCGCUCUGCGUACCCAACGACAGUGCGAAGGGGUACUCCUGCAGCUGCUUCGUGGGGUAUAUGAUGACAGCUCAAGGGUGCGUGGAGGAGGACGGCCAAGAGUGUCCCAGCGGCUGGUGGGGCGCGCGGCGCGGCGCGUGCGGCCCGUGUGCGUGCGACGCGCGCGGCCUGCACCCGCACUGCGACACCGGCACCGGGAAAUGUCGAUGCAAGGAGAACCACUACAAGCCGCUGGGCUCGGAGCAGUGCGUGCCGUGCCAGUGCUACGCGGCCGGCUCGGUGAACGGCUCGUGCGAGGCGCUGUCGGGCCAGUGCUACUGCCGCAGCGGCGUCAUCGGCCGCGCCUGCGACUCCUGCGCCAACCUGUACGCUGAGGUCACGCCUAACACUGGGUGCAAAGUUGUGUACGACGGAUGUCCACGGUCAUUUUCACACGGCGUGUGGUGGCCGCAGACGAAGUUUGGUGUCGAAACUAUCACUGACUGCCCUCCAGGAUCUAGCGGCAAAGCGACGCGCAUGUGCGACAAAACUCAAGUGAUUCCUUGGCAAGAGCCGGACAUGUUCAACUGCACCACGUCUACUUUCUACCAGUUGCGGAAGCAGUUACACAAAAUAGAAACAGGCGAGCUUCAAGUCAACACGUUCGUCGGCGUCCGACUCGCUGAAGACCUGGCGACUGCGUGCGCGAACACGCCGCAGCUGUUCGGAGCUGAUGUGCUGGUGGCCGAGGGGAUCCUGCUGGAGCUGAUGCAGUACGAGCUGCGGCAAGCUGGACUGAACCUCACCCACAGCCAGGAUAAAGACUAUGUUCGCAACAUAAUAAAAUCGUCGAACACGAUCCUAAACGACAAGUACGAGAAGCAAUGGCGUCGUAUCAGAGAGCUGACGGGCCACGGCGUGGAGCAUUUGCUGCAGCAGUUCGACCGGUACAUCGCAGUGCUGGCCGAGAGCCAACACGACACGUACACCAGCCCUUUUGAAAUCGUCACUUCGGAUUUGGUAAUCGGCGUGGACAUAGUCACAGCGGAAUCUAUCUACGGCUUCGAACCCACUACACUGAACCGUUACGGCGACACCUACACCACUGAGCGAGUAGUGCUACCGGACACCUCUUCCUUCAUACACUCUCCCAUACAAACGCCAGGGUACUACGGCAUCGGCAAAUCAAAGAACAAAAAGCCUUCAAGUCCUGCUGUCUCGUUCCCGAAAUAUAAUAAUUAUGUCAAAAAUAAAAAGAAGUUUGACAAGUUCUCCAGAGUUCUGCUGCCGUUGGACUUGAUUGGAAUCAAUAGCGCACAAGACACGAACUACGAGUCCAGAGCCGUAUUCUCUUACCUACAAUAUUCACGGAACAGCUCCCAAUUAAUGCCUUUACGAAUGGAUGAGUCCGUAAGUCGACGAUGGGGAGUCAAUAUUACGUUAGGAUCGCCAAUACUGCAAGUGGCUUUAUUUGUACCUGAAAAUGUGUGGCUCAGGGAAACGAAGGAAAGCGAUGAAAAUGCUAAUGACAUAAUGGAUGACUUCGAAGGUAUAACGUACAGUAAUAAAGGCCAUCCCCAUCCAAACCAUUUAAACAACCAAAUAACACCCAACACACAUUCAAAACAAGAUACAUGGCCUCAAACAGACGAAGAAACCUCAAAUGAUAACCACGGUCCAGUAGUAAUACAACCAGCGUACAAAAAAUCAGACAAAUCAUACAACGAAAAUUUCCAAGAAAACGAUUCGUCUUAUGUUGCUGAGAGAUUAGAUAAUUCAGAAGGGCCUAAAGUAUUAGCUCUUAUUAUGGAUAACGAUAAAAACAAGGAAGUUAAUUCAACAAAGGAGGUCGGGAAAAAGAAGUUGCUAUACAAAGGUUUGAACAACGUUAGACUGAAGAAGCCGAUCAGGUUGCAGUUGUGGUUGGAUAUCAAUAGAGAGACUUUCGGUACCAGAACAAAUCCGCAAUGUGUUCACUGGUCUACUUUGAGAGGGACCGGGGAAUGGUCGCGAGUCGGUUGUCACACCGAAAUUGACUACGACUGGUCCCCAUACUCUGACGAACCCUUGCUUAUCAACUGCACUUGCAAUCACCUGUCCACGUUUGCUGUUUUAGUCGACGAAGUUGACAUUGAGUUUAUUCCAGAGCCUUCUCUCCUAGAAUCGGUGACAUCCUACACUGGGUUUAGCAUAUCCCUCCCAUUGCUGCUAUGGACUUGGGUAGCGUUGUGCCUUAUGCGCGGCGGAGCAGCUACUGUAUCUAACUCUAUACACAAGCAUCUGAUAUUCUGCGUGUUUAUGGCUGAAUUACUGUAUCUAAUUGCUCUGAAAGCGCGGAGCUCUUUAGUUCAGAAUGAGUUCCUGUGCAAGGUGGUGGCGAUGGGGCUGCACUACUGGUGGGUGUGCGCGCUGGGCUGGGCGGCGUGCGACGCGUGGCAGCUGCGCCGGCUGGUGCGCGAGCUGCGCGACGUCAACCACGGCCCGCUGGCCGCGCAGCUGGCGGCAGCAUACGCCGCGCCCGCCGUCGCGCUAGCUCUCGCCGCUGCCCAGCACCAGCAUCAAUACGGGAACGCGCUGUUCUGCUGGGUAAGCUGCCACGAGGCGGUGGUGUGGUGGGUUGUAGUCCCAGCGGGCGUGUACGCGUUGGCGGCGCUAGUCUUCCUGGCGGGAGCUACGCGCGCCGCCUUCACCGUACGCGACCAUGUCAUCGGAUUUGGAAACUUAAGGAUGCUGCUAGCAGUGAGCAUAGUGUGCCUGCCACUACUGUGUGUGGCCUGGGCCAGCGCUCUCAUACUGGGCAGCGAGGCGGGCGCACGCCGCAACGUGCUGAGCUCAGUGUUGGCGGGCGCGGUCGCUCUGCACGCUGCCGCUGCCUCGCUGGGCUACAUCGCCUUCAACAUACGAGUGCGGGACAACUUGAAGAGGACAAUUUUGAGGUGUCUCGGGAAGAAAGUCCCUCUUGCCGACACUUCUGUCAUUAUUAGCACGAGUGCCCAAAAUCUCUCACAAGUGAACAGAUCGGCGUUGGCCUACCAUAGCAGUACGGAGCCAGGCAGACAGCUCCGGAACAUAGGGAUAUCGGCUUCUUCCACCACCUCCAGAUCCACCACCAAGACCAGUUCUAGCCCAUACAGCCGCAGCGACGGCCAACUGCGUCACACCAGCACUUCCACCUCUAACUACAACACCAGCGCGAGCGACAUGCCGGCCUACCUGCGCGGCUUUGACUCGUCGCUGCACACUCGGAAAGAAGACGAAGGUCGCCGGCGUCGCAAGAACCGCGGUGAGGCAGAAGAGGCCACAGAAGGCACAGAGGGCACCGACAGCGAGAGCGAGGCCUCCGCACGCAGUCUUGACCUCGCCUCCAGCCACUCUUCUGACGACGACGACACCACUUCUAGGAGAUCCAGCCAUCCGCCUUCUGCGCACCGAGACCGAGGUACGACUGGCACGGGAGGAGGCUACCUUCCAAACAUCACCGAGGGAGCGCCCUUAGCGAUUCCACCGAGAUGGCCGUCGCACAUUAGAGAAGAAUCAAACCGUCCAGACAUGGGCAGAUGGUCCCAAGAGACGGGGUCCGAAGAUGGUGGCAACCCUGGCGCCGCAUCACCAUCCCCCAACCCGCUGCCCAAUCCAGACCUCACGUCGGACGUGUACCAGCUCAGUCGACACCGUCUCAAGCCCUCCAUACUGGAGAACGUGCAUGACACUUACGUGGCGAGCGUCGAUGCGUCGAGGCUGCCUCUUGAUAAUAGAUAUGGCGCAAUGGAAGAGGAACUAAUGUACGGGGUGAUGCCCAAUGAUGCAGAGAAGCAAAUGCCGUACGACUCGAGCUACCCCAUCUCCCCCAGCAUGUACCGGCUGCCGGCCAACCCCUACGGCUCCAAGACGUAUCUGUCUUCGCGCACUUCAGACUACGGAUACAGCCCCACCAAGUACAUGACUACUGAACCCAGUGUGUAUGGUUCACGAGAUUUCCGCGAUUCCAGUGUAACGACAAGGGAUCACGACGGCUACCCACCGCGGGACUUCCGUGACUCCGGCAUAGCGACGAUGUUGAAGAACGACUACCAGAGGAACAUGGAGCACUACGAGUACAGCGACCGCAUGUCGGACGCGUCGGACAAACACCAACCACACGACAAGUACCACUUCCCCUACACCGCGGAGGAAGAUCACAUGAACGUUCGCGGCGCGCAGUCUCCACAUGUCGGCGGUGAUUUGCACACAGCCGACGGCCAACAACAAAUGGGAGCGCCACUAGCGAGCAUGGGGGAGACUAGCGAAUGGUGGCGGUUGUAUGAGAAACACUCAUUAUAAAAUCAUCUUUUGCUUUGCUAACCGGUGGUGUCGCGCGCACAAUCAUCUGUCGCCGUAGGGAAGAGGAAAUCUACUACUGAAGACGACGCUGAGACGAGAGUGUAAAGACCACAUAGUACAAGAUUUCCAAUGAAUCUCAAUUAGUUAAUUAUUUAUUUAUUGUAUUUUAUUAUGUAAAGUGUAAUAGUACUAAACACAUACCUACUUGUUAUGUUAGUAUCCUCUGCGAAUAUUAAGACUGUCAUAAUUAUAAUUCAGAUUUCAGUGGUCACUGCCAAUAUAGACACCUCUGGCUUGUAGUACUGUUUAACCAAUUAAAAGUUUGAAAUUACACUGUGCGUUUAAUGUAAAUUUAAUUUAAUGUAAUGCUAGUGGUUUGAGUGUAUUGAGAAUAUUUUACAAGUUUAUAGGUAUUUCGAUUUGGAAUUCAACCUACUUAAAUUGAUAUUUCGACCUUGUAAUUAUGUAACAGUGCGGCCAUUUUAGUAGGUCAUCGGUAACUGGGAUUUAAAGGUGUUAUUGAUAGAUGGAAUUGAAAAGUACAUGGAAAGCUGUAUAUUAUUCAAAUGGCGGUACUUUUCGUUCUAUACAAUGGCUGAAUUUGACCUUGGCCUGCUGUAACGGAUAUUUUAAAUACAUUGUCUAUGCUUUAAGUAGAAUCGUUGCCAUUAUACAAUAUGGUAGUUUUAAGAUUUAAAUAUUCUAUCUUUAACAUAAAAUCCACCACUGCACUCUAUGCUCAAAUAUGACAAUGAAAUUAGAUCUCAAUUUUUUUUUAUUUGAAAUUUUUGUAACUAAAAAUGCUUUUAAGUAGAAUUUUAAAUACUAAUAAAGUCUGUUCAUUUAGUAAGAUUUAAAUAAACGGGUGUUCAAAAUAUUUUAUUAAGAUGUAAAUGUAGUAUUAAAUUAAUAUUUAAGACUUAUUAUUUGUAAAUAGGAAACAACAGUUUGUAUUGUUUGUUAAAACAAAAGAAUUACAGUGUUGCCAUCUUUCCACACUGCUCUUUUUUUACUACUACCAAUUUCAUUUUGUGUACCAAUUUGGUAAAUUUUUAUUUAGAAAUUAAUAUUAGAAUAUCCCUAACAUUUAUAUAAUAAUGAGACUUCGGCUUUUUAGAUUUCGCUUUAAAAGGUUUAUUCCAAAGUCAGUAGGUAAAUGUAUAUAGAAUAACUACCGUAUUUGCAAACAUAACUAUAAAAAAUGUAAGAAAUCCUAAAAUCUAAAUAAAUUGGAAAGGCAAAUAAAUGAUGGCGUUAUCAGAGCAUCACGUCGUCGUCUGUUAGGUCUAUAGAUUGGUGGAAGUCAAAGAUAAUACAAUAUGUACGAGUUGGGUAGUUGAACGUUUUCAAUGAAAUUUAAUAAAUAUAUCUGUUUUUUAGUAAUGUUUACGAAUGCAACGCUGAUAUAAAUGAUAUUAUGUAGAUCUUAUGUAUUCUAGUUGUAGAUUUACAAGAUGUGAAAUAUUUUUAUAAGAUACCAAAACUUAUUUAAAAUAUGUAAUAAUUAAUGUUUAUAAAAUAAAUGUUUAAUUUGUAGAUUCAGAGGAGGUAUUUUAUUAAAAAUAAUGGUUUGCAAAACUGGAAUUACAAUUUUUUUUUAAUAGUUUUGCAAUGAAUAGUUAAAACAUCUUUUAACUUAAACAGAAGGAAUUCAAAAACUAGACCUUAGAAUAAAAAAAAUAUUAUAACAAAUUUAUUACACGCGUAGUUAAUCAGUCUUGUUCAACUUUACACAAUUUCGCUGUAUUAUUUAAGGCAAUAAAAUCUUUGAUACAAGGCCUAUUUUACUGGCAAUUUGAAACGAAGAAUCUUUUUUAGUUUAAUAUUAUUACCAUCUUAUUAUUUAUGUAUUUUAUCUCCUUAGGAUGGAAUUAUAUUUGUCUGACGUGUCGUGUCGUGACGCAUCAGAACAGAUUAGGUAUCAUACAUUUUGUACACAUAAGAAUUCAUCACGACAUGUCACAACACAUAAGUCUUUAAACGUUGCCAUACUAAAUGUAUGAUACCGAUUAUGUUCUGACGCCUCACGACACGACACGUCAGACAAAUAUAAAUUCGCCUUUAAAGUACCUAUUUGUGACUAAAUUUAAACUAAAUUUUUGAAUGCUGUUUUGCAAUUUUGCCAUUAAAUAGCAGUGGCGGUCUUACCCAUUGCGAGGCUCCGGGCGGCAGGAUUUUGCGAGGCCCUUUGUCUUCCAUAAAAAGUACUCGUAUGUAGGUUUAGGCAUUUGUCAUGUUUUACGAGAAAUGCAUAAGUUAUAAAAAAUAUGUAAAAGUUCAGUUUUAAAACAUUUUAGAAAAUUUAAAAUAUUUUAUAGAUUACUAGCGGACGCCCGCGACUUCGUCCGCGUAAAUUUCGAUGUCAACUUUACUACUACCCCUACCCUACCACUACCCCAACCCUACCCUACCCAACCCCUACAUCUACCCUACACCUACCCUAUCCCUCCUCUACCUCUACCUUACCUACACCCUACCCCCAUCCUACCCCUACCCUCCCCGUACCCUAUCCCUUUCCUACCCCUAUCCCACCCGUAUCCCUAUCUCACGCCUAUCCUACCCCUACCCUACCACUUCCCUAUCCUACCCGUACCUCUACCCUACCACUACCCUACCUCUACCCCUACCCUAUCACUACCCUAAACCCGGCCCUAAACCUACCCUACGCCUACGCUUCCCUACCCGUACCCUAACCUACCCUGUAACUUCUCUAUCUUACUCCUACCCUUAGCAAAAUCGGUCCAGUCCUUCCAGAGUGGUGGUAUGACCAAGAGAAACAGAGACUUCUAUGCUAAAAAUAUAAAGAGGUAAAGGUCGUGUGGUUGUAGGAGGUAAUCUCUGGAUCUACUGGACCGAUUUGGAAAAUUGUUUUACCAAUAGAAAACUACGUUAUUUGCGAGUGUUAUAGGCUAUGUUUGAUCCCCAUAUUCACACGGGAACGGUAACUACGUAAAUGAAAGCGCCGGGUGUCAUAUAGCGGAAUUUCUGUGUCUUUUAGAAAUUUUGUAUUAUCUCCGAAACUAUUUAAGUAAUUAACAUACUGUAAAGGGCAAAUCUUAUCUCCAUAAUAUCCUUGUGAUUAUUAUUUUAAUAAGGAUUAAAGUUUAGUUGUAUAAAUAAUGACGUAAACCUAAGUAUAUAAAAUUAUUAAUUUUUAAAACACAAAAGGUACAAUAUCUGCUAAUAUAUAGAAGAUAGAUAUAUGGUGUCGCGGACUUUUUUGUAGAACUUUUAAAGAUACAUAAAGUCUCCAUACAUUAAUUUCAAUUUUACACGAUAGUUAAGGCAGCGAAUGCGAAUAAGUCUGUUUAAGAGGAUUUUCAGUCCGACCUGUAUGACAAAAACUGUGAUAACUCGGCUAAUAUAUAUGAUACCAAUAUAAAAUAUAGCCUAUAGCACUCCCCGAUAAUGUAGCAUUCUACUGGUGAAAGAAUUUUUAAAAUCGGACCAGUAGUUCCGAAGAUUACCCCAUUUAAAAAAUGUGACAAACUUACAAACUUUACCUCUUUAUAAUAUUAGUAUAGAUAACUUUUAUAAUUGAUGUUUGCGGCUUUUUCUAAAACUAAAAUCUUUAUUUAAGCCCAAUAUAUGUGUAUAACGAGCUAUUUUUUCAAUCAAAAAAAUUUAAAAAAUAGCAAAAGCUAUCUAUCCCAUCUUGUGUCAUCAAAUUAUGUUUUAAUAAUUUUUAAGCCUCGAAAAACUCUUUUCAGCAGACGCAACUGUAACAGGUGUCGUGGCAAUAAUUAUCUCCCUCCGUAUAAAGCUAACGCUUUAUAAAACCACGAUCCGUCCGAUCUUAACCUACGCUAGUGUAGUAUUUGCCCACCGUCCCAAAACGACCCACAAUACGUUUUUAGGCACCACUUUUUUCAUCCCACAUUUUGGCAACAUUAAUCCAUGACCUCUGCAGUUUUGCAAUGACAUACCUAAGUAACUGUUCUAAUUCUGUGAUUAUAAUAUUAUUCAUCAAACUCUCAGCAGUGGUUUUUUCGACGGCUUAGAAACCAAUAAAAUGUUUUUCAAUUUUGGUUGUAUUUGUAUUAAGAAAUUCUUUCAUAAUAAUUGAAAGUUGCUCAACACAAUCAAUUAUUUACGUAAUUGAGUAAUAUUUAUUAUUUUUUUUUUUUUCAUAAAUUUGAGUCACGUGAUUUGCUUUUGGUGAAUUCACAACACGCACUUGCGCAUUGAACAAAAGAUCAUUACAGAAUAGCACUCCUGAUCUGAGGGCUAUGCAAAUAUAAAACAAAACAAAAACAGACCUUCAAGUGUUUUGUGUCGCGAUGUUUUAGCACUAAAUAAUAAAUUUUCGAGUAUGUUUUGAAUUAGUUAACUAAAACUAUAUUUUAAUUUAUCUUAAUAAAUAAUUAAGCAUUAAAAUCAAAAGUUUUAAAUAAGAAAAUUUACUUAUUAGGUCUAGGCGCGAGGCCCUUGCAAGAGCGAGGCCCCGGGCGCUUGCCCCGUUCGCCACCCCCUAAGACCGCCACUGUUAAAUAGUAUUUCGAAAUGUAGACAAGAUGCAUAAAAAUAAAAAGUAAAAGAGAAAGUUUAAAAUAGAUAUUACCUACCUAUUAUAAUUUUUAGAAUGAAUAUAUGCAAUGUAAAUACUGACCGUCAAGAGUGUUGUGUGUAUUUUGAGCGAUUUAACGAAGAGUCCACCUAUUUUGUAAAUAAAUAGACUUUUUACACGUUCUAGUAGUUAAUUAGUUUAAUUAUAAAAUACUUAUUAAAUAGGGGAAGAAAGCUUUACUCAAAUUUUCCCUAUAUUCACUUUGCCAUAUUAAAUAAAUGGGUUUAUUAAAUAUGUAGUAAGUAAAGGCUAAAGAAUUUUUAUUAUAAUUUGAUUGAAUAUAAAAUAAAAAUUCUUUAAGUUAUUUAUGAUAGGUCCGCUACAAAUUAAUUGAAUGAAAUGAAACCUGAAUUAUCAAUUUUCGUUAAAAUUAUAAUUUCAUUAUUACCUAUUCAAAGUUCAGAAACGAUGGAUAUAAUAGCUACAUCAGAUGUCAGCUCAAUUAGGCAUUUUAGCAUUUCGCUCAGUGACUACAUUCCAGUUGUGUAACGAAAUUGAUUAUUAUUAGUAGCAGUAGAAAACUACUUAAAUAAGUAGCGUCUGAACUGUUUUAUAUUGAAAUAAAAUAUUUUAUUGCUAAAA